rnacentral:rRNA from 1 species
GCUGAGUAUAAGGCUGUGGCCAAUGCCACAUCAGAGAUCAUCUGGGUACAGUCCUUGCUUCAGGAGUUAAGUAUACCCCAAUCACAGCCUCCUGUUCUUUGGUGUGAUAACAUCGGUGCUACAUACCUUUCUGCAAAUCCGGUAUUCCAUGCUCGAACGAAACACAUUGAAGUUGACUAUCACUUUUUGCGUGAACGUGUCUCUCAGAAGCAACUACAGAUCAAGUUUAUUUCUUCCAAGGAUCAACUUGCUGACAUCUUCACCAAGCCAUUGCCUUUGCCACAGUUUGAGACUUGCAGGCGCAAUCUUACCCUU